GCUGCUUAUGGGAGCAUCCUGCCAUUCAAUGAAAUACAUCGUAUGAUUCUAUAGGGUGUAUGUAGUCAGGGAAGUAUCUACGGAGGGGAGGGUGUGUCGGUGCUGGUGUGUUCCUUAACCUACCGUUUGUUCAUUUUGUUCUUAUCAUCAUCAUCAUUUUGUUCUUGCAUUCUCUUUGUACAGUACCCUGCCAACAGAUAUUACAGGCUUUUUCGAAUGCUGCCCUCUAAAUUUCGCCCCUACGAAAUGUGUAGAAGGAUGCCCAUGUCAGUUUGGCGGCUACUGUGACUUCACAGCGGGCACCUGCAGGUGCCCGUCGGGACGGACUGGGCCGCUGUGUGAAGAAAUGUGCCCCGUUGGGACGUACGGAGUGGAGUGCGUUCAGAGAUGUACGUGCGGUGUGGGUGCCACGUGUGAUCCCUACAGUGGACUGUGUAGCUGUCAACCUAAUCUAAACUGCAUGAUAUGCCGAGAGGGUUUCUACGGUCCCACCUGCAAGUUGACCUGCCCAUGUGACCUAGGAGUGUCAUGUGACUCAUUCACUGGACAUUGCCAG